GACGAACGCUGGCGGCGUGCCUAAUACAUGCAAGUCGAGCGAAGCAGAGGAGGGGUGAGUAACGCGUGGGUAACCUGCACUUAAGUCGGGGAUACCAGUUGGAAACAGAUGCUAAUACAGGAUAAUAAGGGAUGGACAUGCGAUGCAUUAGCUAGUUGGUAAGGUAACGGCUUACCAAGGCGAGGAUGCAUAGCUGUGUUGAUAGACUGAUCGGCCACAUUGGUACUGAGACACGGCCCAAACUCCUACGUGAGGCAGCAGUAGGUAAUCUUCCACAAUUGACGAAAGUCUUAUGGAGCAACGCCGCGUGAGUGAAGAAGGUUUUCGGAUCGUAAAACUCUGUUGUUAGAGAAGCGGUAUCUAACCAGAAAGCCACGGCUAACUACGUGCCAGCAGCCGCGGUAAUUC
rnacentral:rRNA from 1 species